rnacentral:lncRNA from 1 species
GUAAUCCCAGCACUUUGGGAGGCUGAGGUGGGUGGAUCACCUGAGGUCAGGCUUAGGAGUUUGAGACCAGCCUGGGCAACAUGGCAAAACCCUGUCUCUACUAAAAAUACAAGAAUUAGCCAAGCGUGGUGGUGUGUGCCUAUAAUCCCAGCUACUCGGGUGGCCGAGGCAGGACAAUCGCUUGAACCCGGGAGGUAGAGGUUGCAGUGAGCCAAGAUUGUGCCAGUGCACUCCAGCCUGGGCCACAGAGUGAGAAUCCAUCUCAAAAGCAAAAAGAAAAAUCCACCUGAGCUUUUACUUUUCCCCUCAGAUCUGUGUGCCAAUGUCAGUGGAAUUUGAGGAACUCCUGAAGGCUCGAGAGAAUCCAAGUGAAGAGGCACAAAGUAAGUAGGGGUGAAAAUUUCAAACUUAUUGGAGGUUAUAUUGUGAGCAAAGGGAAGACAUUUGGGUGAAGUGCUGCCUCAGGAAACUAGGAACACACAGUCCAUUUGAAAGUUUUGCCAUGUUGCCAAGGCUGGUCUUAAACUCCUGAGCUCAAGCAAUCCGUCUGUCUUGGCCUCACAAAGUGUUGGGAUUAUAGACGGAAGCCACUGCAUCCAGCCUUACAUAAGAUUUCUUUAAAUUCUUUUUUUUUUUUUUUUUUUUUUAAAUAAAUACCAUGUUCCUGGCUGGACACAGUUGCUCACGCCUGUAAUCCUAGCACUUUGGGAGGCCAAGGUGGGCAGAUCACCUGGGGUCAGGAGUUCAAGACCAGCCUGACCAACAUGGAGAAACCCCGUCUCUACUAAAAAUACAAAAUUAGCUGGGCAUGGUGGCGCAUGCCUGUAAUCCUAGCUACUCAGGAGGCUGAGGCAGGAGAAUCGCUUGAACCCAGGAGGCGGAGGUCGCGGUAAGCCGAGAUUGUGUCAUUCAUUGCACUCCAGCCUGGGCAACAAGAGCAAAACUCAAACUCAAAAAAAAAAAUUUUUUUUUGUAGAAAUAGGGUUUCACUGUAUUGUCCAGGCUAGUCUUGGACUCCUGGACUCAAUCAAUCCUCCUGCCUCAGCUUCUCAAAGCCUUGGGAUUACAGGCAUGAGCCACUGUGCCCACCCAGAUUUAUGUGUUCUUCUAGGUGUUCCUGUUUUAGACACAAACAAUACUAGGUACAUGGAAAAUAAAACAACAUGAUCUUUCAGUCAGCAAAAAGGUAUUUAAUGUCUUUUCUUAAAGAUGUUUAAAAAUAGCUUAUCACAGGCCGGGCGCGGUGGCUCACGCCUGUAACCCCAGCACUUUGGGAGGCCAAGGCAGGUGGAUCACCUGAGGUCAGGUGUUCAAGACCUGCCUGACCAACAUGCAGAAACCCUGUCUCUACUAAAAAUAGAAAAAAUUAGCCGGGCAUGGUGGCUCAUGCCUGUAAUCCCAAUUACUCAGGAGGCUGAGGCAGGAGAAUCGCUUGAACCCAUGAGGUGGAGGUUGUGGUGAGCCGAGAUCAUGCCAUUGCACUCCAGCCUGGGCAACAAGAGCCAAACUCCGUCUCAAAAAAAAAAAAAAUAGCUUAUCACAAGAGAUGAGGUUUAAUAUGACAAUCUCAAAAGGAUCACAAGGAAAUCCAUGAUUAGAUUCCUCAUGGAAUUGUGAAGAAAUGUCCCAGAGUUGUAGUGACCAAACUUCAAGUUCCAUGCAGGCAAGUCAGAUCCCUUGUCUGUUUUGUUGUUUUCUGUACCCCGUACUUGGUACAAAGAUGCUUAAUAAGUAGUUACUUGCGUGAACAAAUGGCACCUUUGAGCACCUUGUUUUAGGGUGUCAGAGUCUUUAACCAAGACCCUAGCAUGAGGUAAUAAUCGACAAACGUUUCUUUUAGUUUAAUGUUCAUUAACUUGAUCUUUAUUUUGUAAAGUUAUUAUGUCUGAUAUUUUCCUUCAGUCCAGUGAAAUUAACACUCCAGUUGUAGUAGGAUUGAAUGAUAGGCAAGCAAAAAAAACCAAAAUUAGCCAGCCCUUGUUACUUCUUUAGAAAACACUCAAUUUUGAUCUCACUUAUUGGAGAUUAUAUUGUAACUUGUUACAGUAUAAAUACCUAACUGAAUUUCUUGUCAUUUCUUUCCUCUUUUCAGAAGCUGGAUUAUAUCACAUACCUGUCCAUCUUUGACCAAUUAUUUGACAUUCCUAAAGAAAGGAAGAAUGCAGAGUAUAAGAGGUAGGCAUUAAUAGUUUCUAGGCCUCUCCUGGAUUUGAUUAGAAGAUAAUGUGAAGUUUUUGAGGGUGAAGUUCUGAAUUUGUUGCCUGGAAGGCAUACAUGAAGGCA